rnacentral:rRNA from 1 species
UACGUAGGGGGGCAAGCGUUGUCCGGAUUUAUUGGGCGUAAAGAGCGUGUAGGCGGCCAGACAGGUCCGUUGUGAAAACUCGAGGCUCAACCUCGAGACGCCGAUGGAAACCGUCUGGCUAGAGUCCGGAAGAGGAGAGUGGAAUUUCCGGUGUAGCGGUGAAAUGCGUAGAUAUCGGAAGGAACACCAGUGGCGAAAGCGGCUUCCUGGUCCAGCACCGACGUUCAGGCACGAAAGCGUGGGGAGCAAACAGG